AUUCCGUCCUCUGCCUUUUGGCUAAAAUAAAGUGUAGUAUCUGUUCUUACCAGUUUAAUAUCGUAUACGUGGGUCAUAGACUCACAUUAACUCAUAAGUUGCACUAUAUAUGUGUACAUUUCAAAAGAAUCCGCAUAUAUAUACAGAGUUGGAGACGAAUGCAAAUGAUUCAAUUGAACUCACAGAACUCUGCCCUUU
rnacentral:snRNA from 2 species